rnacentral:rRNA from 1 species
UACCAGCUCUCCGAGUGGUCGUGGACGUUUAUUGGGCCUAAAGCAUCCGUAGCYGGUYGUGCAAGUCCYCUGUUAAAUCCACCKRCUUAAYCGAUGGKCUGCGGGGGAUACUGCUCGGCUAGGGGACGAGAGAGGCAGACGGUAUUCCCGGGGUAGGGGUGAAAUCYUAUAAUCCCGAGAAGACCACCAGUGGCGAAGGCUGUCUGCUAUAACGCGCCCGACGGUGAGGGAUGAAAGCUGGGGGAGCGAACCGGAUUAGAUACCCGGGUAGUCCCAGCUGUAAACGAUGCAGACUAGGUGUUKGGACGGCCWCGUGCCGUUCUAGUGCCGCAGGGAAGCUGUUAAGUCUGCCGCCUGGGGAGUACGAUCGCAAGAUUGAAACUUAA